CAUGCAAGUUGAGCGCUGAAGGUUGGUACUUGUACCGACUGGAUGAGCAGCGAACGGGUGAGUAACGCGUGGGGAAUCUGCCUUUGAGCGGGGGACAACAUUUGGAAACGAAUGCUAAUACCGCAUAAAAACUUUAAACACAAGUUUUAAGUUUGAAAGACGCAAUUGCAUCACUCAAAGAUGAUCCCGCGUUGUAUUAGCUAGUUGGUGAGGUAAAGGCUCACCAAGGCGAUGAUACAUAGCCGACCUGAGAGGGUGAUCGGCCACAUUGGGACUGAGACACGGCCCAAACUCCUACGGGAGGCAGCAGUAGGGAAUCUUCGGCAAUGGACGAAAGUCUGACCGAGCAACGCCGCGUGAGUGAAGAAGGUUUUCGGAUCGUAAAACUCUGUUGGUAGAGAAGAACGUUGGUGAGAGUGGAAAGCUCAUCAAGUGACGGUAACUACCCAGAAAGGGACGGCUAACUACGUGCCAGCAGCCGCGGUAAUACGUAGGUCCCGAGCGUUGUCCGGAUUUAUUGGGCGUAAAGCGAGCGCAGGUGGUUUAUUAAGUCUGGUGUAAAAGGCAGUGGCUCAACCAUUGUAUGCAUUGGAAACUGGUAGACUUGAGUGCAGGAGAGGAGAGUGGAAUUCCAUGUGUAGCGGUGAAAUGCGUAGAUAUAUGGAGGAACACCGGUGGCGAAAGCGGCUCUCUGGCCUGUAACUGACACUGAGGCUCGAAAGCGUGGGGAGCAAACAGGAUUAGAUACCCUGGUAGU
rnacentral:rRNA from 1 species